rnacentral:tRNA from 1 species
GGGGCUGUGGCUCAGUGGAAGAGCAUCUGUGUGGCAUGCAGAAGGCCUCAGGUUCAAUUCCAAGUGUUUCUA